UACGUAGGGCGCAAGCGUUGUCCGGAAUUAUUGGGCGUAAAGAGCUCGUAGGCGGCUUUGUUAGUCGGGUGUGAAAACCCCAGGCUUAACCUGGGGACGCCACUCGAUACUGCAAUGGCUAGAGUCUGGUAGGGGAUCACGGAAUUCCUGGUGUAGCGGUGAAAUGCGCAGAUAUCAGGAGGAACACCGGUGGCGAAGGCGGUGAUCUGGGCCAGUACUGACGCUGAGGAGCGAAAGCGUGGGGAGCAAACAGG
rnacentral:rRNA from 1 species